UACGGAGGGUGCAAGCGUUAAUCGGAAUUACUGGGCGUAAAGCGUGCGUAGGCGGUUCGUUAAGUCUGCUGUGAAAGCCCCGGCUCAACCUGGGAAUGGCAGUGGAUACUGGCGAGCCUAGAGUGUGAUAGAGGAUGGUGGAAUUCCCGGUGUAGAGGUGAAAAUUCGUAGAUAUCGGGAGGAACACCCGAGGCGGCAGGA
rnacentral:rRNA from 1 species